rnacentral:misc_RNA from 1 species
GUUUAAUUUGGCCUCAAUUUUGUACUACUUAGCCUGUUUUUAUCAACAAAAUUAGCUCAACCCAGAAUAAAUCCAAUUGAAUCCCACUAACAUUUGAAAUGGAAAAGUUCAGGAACAGAGAGAGGAUCCCUCAUGGUGUGUUUAGGUAAUUUGAUUUUAUACUGCAUCAUUUUGAAGGACAGGUAUGGUGAUAUGUGAUAUUGCCAGUUAGAAUUAUAUUCGACAACCAGUAGGUCAUUACCAGUUGAUAUUAUCCCAAAUGGCCCACUAAAUUUAUGAUGCAACUUUUUUUGGCAUAUUUAGCUGAAAUUGACCAGGAUAGCAAAAUUUAUUUACUUGCAAGAUAACUGAUUAAUGCUAUGGGUCAAGCAGGGACCACAGAGAUAGCCUCCUCCGAUCCCUUAGUAUUUGAUAAAAGAAUUUAGUUAUCACCUGUAGGAGUGAGGACUUGGAAGUAUAGUUUCAAUCCCAUUUUCCCUUCCCUUUCAGUUUAUAAUUCUCAAGUUUACAAGGGCAUACCAUAUGUUUUUUUUAGUAGGGGAUUGAGGUAGUAGAGACUUAAACUUGGAUUUGUCAGCUAAGUUAUAUGCCUUUAACUAUGGGACCAAGCUAAGCUUGACUUUUCAACAAAAUUUUGCACCUCUAAAUUUAGACAGUUCUGGCUGACUUUCCAAUUUAUUUUUGUCAAACGUUGUUGCUUUCACCAAGUUGGAUUGGCAUUAUGCAUCAAUUGGUCUUCAGGGAAGGGGGAAAAAAACUGUAAUUGCUAAUGGCAGUGCCAAGAAUUCUGGUUCUUGAGAUGUAAUUAUGCAGUUCUUUUACUUAGAUUUAUUAGCCAGUGAUAUUUUAGAGUAAGAUGGUAUUAUUUUGGUUGUAUUUCCUACGUGUUGACUUUCAAGACUAUGCUUUUCUUUUUCUGACGUUGCUAGUUCUAUGAAUGUUGCCUGGCAUACAUUUUUCACUAAUUGCAUUCUUCAUUUUGCUACAGGUAGACUCUCAAGAAAUGUGA